rnacentral:rRNA from 1 species
CUCCCUGGGUGACGAGCGGCGGACGGGUGAGUAAUGUCUGGGAAACUGCCUGAUGGAGGGGGAUAACUACUGGAAACGGUAGCUAAUACCGCAUAACGUCSCAAGACCAAAGAGGGGGACCUUCGGGCCUCUUGCCAUCAGAUGUGCCCAGAUGGGAUUAGCUAGUAGGUGGGGUAAUGGCUCACCUAGGCGACGAUCCCUAGCUGGUCUGAGAGGAUGACCAGCCACACUGGAACUGAGACACGGUCCAGACUCCUACGGGAGGCAGCAGUGGGGAAUAUUGCACAAUGGGCGCAAGCCUGAUGCAGCCAUGCCGCGUGUGUGAAGAAGGCCUUCGGGUUGUAAAGCACUUUCAGCGAGGAGGAAGGUGGUGAGCUUAAUACGCUCAUCAAUUGACGUUACUCGCAGAAGAAGCACCGGCUAACUCCGUGCCAGCAGCCGCGGUAAUACGGAGGGUGCAAGCGUUAAUCGGAAUUACUGGGCGUAAAGCGCACGCAGGCGGUUUGUUAAGUCAGAUGUGAAAUCCCCGGGCUCAACCUGGGAACUGCAUUUGAAACUGGCAAGCUAGAGUCUCGUAGAGGGGGGUAGAAUUCCAGGUGUAGCGGUGAAAUGCGUAGAGAUCUGGAGGAAUACCGGUGGCGAAGGCGGCCCCCUGGACGAAGACUGACKCUCAYGUGCGAAAGCGUGGGGAGCAAAC